rnacentral:rRNA from 1 species
GGCGCAGGUCAAAACGAUCAGGCGGGGCAGACGGGGUGAGUAACGCGUGGGAACGUACCUUUUGGUUCGGAACAACACAGGGAAACUUGUGCUAAUACCGGAUAAGCCCUUACGGGGAAAGAUUUAUCGCCGAAAGAUCGGCCCGCGUCUGAUUAGCUAGUUGGUGAGGUAAUGGCUCACCAAGGCGACGAUCAGUAGCUGGUCUGAGAGGAUGAUCAGCCACAUUGGGACUGAGACACGGCCCAAACUCCUACGGGAGGCAGCAGUGGGGAAUAUUGGACAAUGGGCGCAAGCCUGAUCCAGCCAUGCCGCGUGAGUGAUGAAGGCCCUAGGGUUGUAAAGCUCUUUUGUGCGGGAAGAUAAUGACGGUACCGCAAGAAUAAGCCCCGGCUAACUUCGUGCCAGCAGCCGCGGUAAUACGAAGGGGGCUAGCGUUGCUCGGAAUCACUGGGCGUAAAGGGUGCGUAGGCGGGUCUUUAAGUCAGGGGUGAAAUCCUGGAGCUCAACUCCAGAACUGCCUUUGAUACUGAAGAUCUUGAGUCCGGGAGAGGUGAGUGGAACUGCGAGUGUAGAGGUGAAAUUCGUAGAUAUUCGCAAGAACACCAGUGGCGAAGGCGGCUCACUGGCCCGGUACUGACGCUGAGGCACGAAAGCGUGGGGAGCAAACAGGAUUAGAUACCCUGGUAGUCCACGCCGUAACGAUGAAUGCCAGCCGUUAGUGGGUUUACUCACUAGUGGCGCAGCUAACGCUUUAAGCAUUCCGCCUGGGGAGUACGGUCGCAAGAUUAAAACUCAAAGGAAUUUGACGGGGGCCCGCACAAGCGGUGGAGCAUGUGGGUUUAAUUUCGACGCACGCGCAGAACCUUUACCAGCCCCUUUGACAUGUCCCAGGGACCGGGUUCGCAGAGAUGUGAACCCCUCUCUUCGUAGCCCUGGGAAACACCAGGUUACCUGGCCAUUGAC